UAAAAUGGAUUCCAAUGGAUUACCACAGUCAAAGCAAAAAAAACAAAAAAAAACACUCUUGCAUCAUAAUCCACUUAUCCACUAUUGAUAGGUUUACAUAUGUUGUGUAACCUAUGUCUAACCUAUCUAAAUACACUACCUACCUGUGUUGCGCUAUUGCCUCAACAUAGCUCUGAAGCUCUGGAAGUAGUGCAUUUACUGCUUUAUUGGCUGAGUGACUAUUGUUUUGAAUCUGCUGGCAUACCGAUCCGAGGUCUACAGAAAACUCUGGAUAUUGCUGAAAAGAAGAGGGAGGGACCUGAGACAUUACUUAUUGACUGCACCUCAACUCUAAUGGAGAUCCAGAUGUGAUGUUGUUCAGAACAUCCAUGAACACGGCACGCUGGAACCAGCAGAUGCAUAAGCCCUCAUGGAGUCUCUGAGAGAGGGUGGCACCAGGUCACCAAAGGCUUUACGAGAGAGAAGUGCUGUCUUGUCCACUACUGCACCGGCCCUCCUUUCCAGAUCAUGCCAGAAGAUCACCAAGGAUGAGGCAGUUGGCCUAUAUCUUGCACGCCAUUCACAGUUUAACACAGGACAUUAAUGCUAGUUAGCAAGCGGAGCCUUGGUUGCCGCCAGCUGCAAUUUCAAAUGACCAAUAACCAAUAACAGACUGCUAAAUGGUGGCAAUGUCUAGGGGUGUUCAAUUUAUAAUCCUCGUCCCCGAGUCUAGCUGCUUAAAGUAGAUAGCGAGUUUAUUGCGUUGGGGAGAUUUUUAGCAGCGGCGCUGCACCGCUGUUGAAUGCAUAUAGAGGAAACACUGAAUUUAACGGUACAAACUCCCAAAUAAUUGUGCAAUUAAUCAAAUGACCAAAAUCUUAACAUACAUGAACCUGGGACUUUUUUGGCCCUUGUGGGUCUGUUGCCUGCUUUGCCCAGUUGGUAAUCCAGCCAUGAUGCUUAAGUGCAUCUGCCUGUGAUAUCACACAUUAUUAAUGUUUGACCACCAACUGUUUCACCCACCGGACACAACCACUGUGUAGAACUUUCACAGGCUCCAGUACUAUGAGAAGUUACAUCAAUAUUAACAUGUAAUAUAUGUAUCAA